rnacentral:rRNA from 1 species
CUUCCGUAGGGUGAACCUGCGGAAGGAUCAUUAAAUAAUUUGAGUAUGCUCUCAGCAUAUUUCUAAUUUACUGUGAACUGUUUUACUGUUUAGCGUUUUGAGGGAUUGCCUAAAGAUUAUAGGGAUAGGUCUUUAGGAUGUUAACCUAGCUAAAGUCAGGCUUAGGCCUGGUAUCCUAAUUCAUUAUUUACCAAAAGAAUUCAGAAUUAAUAUUGUAACAUAAGCGUAAAAAACUUAUAAAACAACUUUUAACAACGGAUCUCUUGGUUCUCGCAUCGAUGAAGAACGUAGCAAAGUGCGAUAACUAGUGUGAAUUGCAUAUUCAGUGAAUCAUCGAGUCUUUGAACGCAUCUUGCGCUCAAUGGUAUUCCAUUGAGCACGCCUGUUUCAGUAUCAACAACAACCCACAUCCACAAUUUUGUUGUGAAUGGAAGUGAGAGUAUCGACCUUAAAAUUGAACUCUUUAAAACUAUUAGGCCUGAACUAUUGUUCUAUUAGCCUGAACAUUUUUUUAAUAUAAAGGAAUGCUCUAGUUAAAAGACUAUCUUGGGGGCCUCCCAAAUAAAUCAUUUUUUAAACUUGAUCUGAAAUCAGGUGGGAUUACCCGCUGAACUUAAGCAUAUCAAUAAGCGGAGGAAGUG